GGAAUAUUGCACAAUGGGCGAAAGCCUGAUGCAGCGACGCCGCGUGAGGGAUGACGGCCUUCGGGUUGUAAACCUCUUUCAGUAGGGAAGAAGCGAAAGUGACGGUACCUGCAGAAGAAGCGCCGGCUAACUACGUGCCAGCAGCCGCGGUAAUACGUAGGGCGCAAGCGUUAUCCGGAAUUAUUGGGCGUAAAGAGCUCGUAGGCGGUUUGUCGCGUCUAUCGUGAAAGUCCGAGGCUCAACCUCGGAUCUGCGGUGGGUACGGGCAGACUAGAGUGAUGUAGGGGAGACUGGAAUUCCUGGUGUAGCGGUGAAAUGCGCAGAUAUCAGGAGGAACACCGAUGGCGAAGGCAGGUCUCUGGGCAUUAACUGACGCUGAGGAGCGAAAGCAUGGGGAGCGAACAGGAUUAGAUACCCCAG
rnacentral:rRNA from 1 species